rnacentral:lncRNA from 1 species
ACCAGCUCCAUCCUAUCCAGAAUGUAUAGUUGUUUUUGUUUUUUGUUUUGUUUUCUUUUUCGUUAACUCCAAUAGUAUAAAUACAAAGUAAACUAUUUGGUGCGGCUGGGUGUGUUAUAUUUCGUUCGUAACGGUGAAUUGUUUCUUUGUUUCUUCAGGCAUUUGAUUGGUUCUGACAAAGACAAAAUAGAAAGAAGAAAAGAAAAAGAAAAGCGGAGAAUUUUGUGACGUUUAGGGUUUCGCCAGAUGUUUGAAACAGUAACACGGAAUAUCAAUUAAAGAUGAUAAGUACACGUACCUCGCAGAACCAUUGACAGCAGAGUUAUCUAUCCAUUAACAUCGUCAACUGAUGUGGUUGGAAUUGUAAUACCAGAAAAUGAGCAAGUAAAUAUUUUAUUUAUUCUGUACUAAUUAUGUUAUAGCAAUAUAUGUUUUAUAAAUAUUCAUUUCACAUUAAACCCCGAUCUGCUUUAAGUAUGAACAUUAAGUAAGAAAAGAAAAGAAAACAAAGCAAAAUACUCGUAAUACUGUAACGCCUACCUAAAUACUAGAACCUAAAUUGGUUUGUCUUGCGGAAGGGAAAAAGGUAUUUCGAAAUUUCCUCUUCCUUGCUCGUUUCCUGUAGGAGAUGCACUGGCUUUCGUUCAUUAAGAUUACAUCGAUUUUGUAUAUUGGGCAUUUAGAAAAAAAAAAAGAAAAAAAGUAAAGAUUAGCUUCAUUGACAAAAUAAAAACUUAUAAAAAUAGGUUUUCACGUAUAUUUUAUUUGUAUAUGAUGUAUACAAAGAUUUAUAAUUAUGUGUAUAGAUAAUUUCACACGUUUAUAUACAUCUUGACUUAUUUUAACCCUAACCCAAACGAAACGUUACUGUGUGUGUCAGAAAUAUUCUAGCACUUGUCAAAAGUGAUGAGAGCACUUAAGCUCUUUUGUUUUCAUUCCAGCUGAGAUGCAUUUAUGUUAGUUAUUUAUUUUACUAGUGGGUACCAGUUGUGAAUACACAUAGUUAAUGAUAUACCGUAAACUAUAUCGACAGAGAUAAACGGAUUUAAACAUCGACUGUUUUUUAUCAUUUCAUAAUACGCACACACAUGUGCAGCUAAAGUUAUGCGAAUUUCUCUUUAGUAAAGAAUAUGUUAGCGUCGCCACGAAAUUCAGAUGUAAGUGAAAGUACUAUUAUUGUACUGUUGUGUUUGUCAGGACGACGGACAGAAAUGCAGACACUAUGAAUUAGUAAAUUUUACAUAUCUUCAUACAUAUGCCAGUUAUAUAGACAAAUAUAAUAUAAUAUAUAUAUAUAUAUUGAAUUAUUAAAAUAUGGCCUACAUUUUUUAUAUAAUGUAUAUAAUUGAUUUCCUCUUUUUAAUUGUUUUUUUAAGUAAGCUAAGAUUUGUUGUUUCGCUUGGUACCAACCAAUAAGGUAAUGUACACGUAAGGGAAAUAAUGUCGUUUGUAGAAUUUACAUGCUUUGAUGUGGUCGUCUGACCUGCUAGAAAUGUCAGCAUGACUUCCUUUUAAUUACUUAUACCCUUACGACUACACGCGCAUCACCGUACCUGAAAGUUUGUUGAGAAGGAACAAAGUGAAAAAUAGUUCCUAACUACAGAUUUUGUUACAUAUAUAACAUGUAUGUACACGAUAUAUAUAUAUAAAAGAAAGAAAAAGAAAACAAAAAAAGCAUCAGUGCAACCAAGCGCUUCAGUUGGUCUCACGGUUUAUAAACAUUCAUUUAAUCCAUUCGGCAGUUUCGGAGAUAAAAUUUCAAAGGGAAAAUUAAAUUAGAUUAAAUGUAUUUCGGGAUUACUAGGUCGUGUAAUAAGCAUAUUCACAAACCAAAGAGUGAGCCUCUAUGUGGUGUCUCCACUUGCGAGAAAUGGUAGCCAAAUUUCCAUCAAAUUAUACCUUACCGUCUUAGAAGAGAUGGAAUACUUACAGCUGGAAUGCUUUACAUCAUAUGGUCAGUUAUGGUUGACGGGACGACUACGACAGAGACAGUGUGGGUGUGACUGUUGUCGUUGCCAGUGAGGAGGAUCCAAAGCAUGGUUAUUUGCUAGUUCGUGUAAUAAGCGUAUUCUUUUCUACUCUAGGCACAAGGCCCGAAAUUUUGAGGGAGGGAACCAGUCGAUUAGAUCGAUCCAAGUACGCUACUAGUACGUAAUUUAUCGAUCUCGAAAGGAUGAAAGGAAAGGCGGAAUUUGGACUCAGAACAUAAAGAUAGACGAAAUACCUAUUUCUUUAUUACCCACAAGUGGCUAAACAUAGAGGGGACAAACAUGGACAGACAUAGGUAUUAAGUCGAUUAUAUCGACCCCAGUGCUUAACUGGUACUUAAUUUAUCGACCCCGAAAUACCGCUUAGCAUUUCGCCCGGCGUGCUAAAGUUUCUUAUUUCUUUAUUGCUAAAUAUAGAGGGGACAAACAACGACAGACAAAGGGAUUAAGUCGAUUACAUCGACCCCAGUGCGUAACUGGUACUUAGUUUAUCGACCCCGAAAGGCUGAAAGGCAAAGUCGACCUCGGCGGAAUUUGAACUCAGAACGUAACGGCAGACGAAAUGCCUAUUUCUUUACUACCCACAAGGGGCUAAACACAGAGGGGACAAACACGGACAGACAAACGGAUUAAGUCGAUUAUAUCGACUCCAGUGCGUAACUGGUACUUAUUUGAUCGACCCCGAAAGGAUGAACGGCAAAGUUGACCUCGGCGGAAUUUAAACUCAGAACGUAACGGCAUACGAAAUACUGCUAAGCAUUUUGCCCGGCGUGCUUACGUUUCUGCCGCCAGCUCGCCGCCUUCGUGUAAUAAGCAUAUUGACAAACCAAAGAGGGAGCCUCUACGUAGUGUCUUCACUUGCGAUAAAUAGUAGCCAAAUCUCCAUCAAAUUAUACCUUACUGUAUUAGAAUUUCUUCUCAGUUAUGGUUGACGGGGGAUAACAACGACAGAGGCAGUGUGAGAGUGACUGUCGUCGUUGCCAAAGCCAGUGAUAACUAGCAAAUAACCAAAGCAUGGUUAUUUAUUCUAUGAAUCAUAUAUAAGUAAUUAUUCAAUUUGGUUAGAUUAAAAAAGCAAAUAAAAUUAAGGGGGAAAUGAGUCAACUUUUUACACAACAUAAACACUGGUGAAAUAUGACUUCCCUCAAAAAAUGAAGUGUAACGAACAGAUUUGCUUCUUUUACUACGCUUGCAGUGCCAUAAUCCAUCAGUAACGUCACCUCAUGUAGUAAGGCCACAUGGUAAAUUACAAUUUUCACAGGUGUACAAAUUCAUAAUUAGUCGACGCCGUGCCAACCACUGAAGAAUGUUGUCGCCUGCUUUUCCUAAUUGAAUGAUUAGUCCACGAUUCCUCUCUCUUAGAUUGAUUCGGGAAAUUCCUCCCCCCCCCCAUUUUCUCUCAAAUUUGUUUACCUUUUUAAUUAUUUUUGCCCCAAAACCCCCGUUUUUGAAAAUUGCCAGAAAAUUGCCAAAAAUGGCAUUGUUAAAUUCCCCCCUUCCCCAUCAAAUUUUUCAAUUUUGACUUUUUCCUCCAACACUAACCCUAAAACCCUGACCUUAAAACCCUAACCGUAACUACAGAAAUGUUUUGCAAUUUUUGUGCAAAUCAUAAUGUCUGUAUUUUCCCGCAUAUUUUGAAAAAAAAAAAUGUUUCUGAAAAGAAUUAAAAAUGAAGGAAAUGGGGUAGGGUGAGGUAAUUUAAAAAUGCCGAUUUUUGCUAAUUGUUUUUUUUUUGCAGAUUCGUCUUCCCCAUAGCUGUGUCGAAAAAAAAAAGAGAAAUUUUUUAAAAAGAGUGGUUUGGGUGGCGAAUGGGUGGAAGUCUCUUAAUUUUUAUUUACUUUUUUAAUCUAACCAAACUGAACAUUUACCAUGAUGAUUAUAUAUGAUUCAUAGAAUUGCAUGGGAUUCCCCAAAUCAGAUAUAAGUAUGCUAUGUUUUUAAUGUUUAGAAGCUAGUAUUUGAUUGAGGUUAUGGUGCUUGGAUUUUUCAAAUUAUUUGAAGCCAGCUGUUGCAAUGUGGUGGACUGAUCUUAUUGAAUACAGGAUCUAUCAUAUCAUUGUACUCAAUUCCCACCUUCACCGAACUAGCUGAAAAAAAAAUUGGGUUGCAAACCCAGCUUUAAUAGUUGCAAUUAUCAUGCUUCAGCUGUGUCGUUUAUUUUUAGAAAUAAACAAAUAAAAUAAAAUGUAAUUCAUGAUAGAAAAUUUUUCUUUGACUGCUUAAUAAAUUUGACAGUUUCUGUUGUCAGUUGUGAUUGAGCAGGCCUGUGAUUAGCCAUGUCCAUCCUAGGUAAUAGAUAAGUGGUUGGUGAGAGCUGUACAAGCCAUGUACAGGGAUGCUACCAGUAAGGUGAGGGUUGGCCAUGAGUACAGCAAAGGAUUUAGGGUACAAGUAGCUGUUCACCAAGGAUCAGUCCUCAUCCCCCUCAUGUUCAUCAUAGUCGUCUAGACAAUAGCAGGAGUUUAAGACAGGUUGCCCCUGGGAGCUCCUCUACACUGAUAACCGUGUUCUUUUAGCUGAGUCACUACCAGAACUAUAGAAGUUUCAAGUAUGGAGGCAAGGUCUAGAAUCGAAGGGCCUUAGAGUUAACCUUGCAAAAACCAAAGUCCUAGUAAGUAGGAGAGCAGACAACUCACAAAUCCUUUCAGAUAGAUAGCUCUGCUUGAUCUGUAGAAAAAGCAUAGGUAGAAACUCCAUAAGAUGUACCCAGCAUAAGAUGUACUAGAGGUGCAGCAAUAUCUGAGGAAGGUUAACAGGGAAAAUCAGCUUUUGUGUGUGGAAGAUGCACAGGUACAAUAAACACCAAAAAUGUACAGAAAAUAGACUCCAUCAACUGCCAGUGGGGUGUGCUAGAGAUAGUAGAUAGCUUCCAUUAUCUGGGAGACCAAGUUAGUUGUGGAGGUGGAUGCUCUGAGAGUGUAGCUCUAAGAAUAAGUCUAGGCUGGGCAAAGUUCAAGGAGCUCCUACCUCUGCUGGCAACAAAGGGUCUCUCCCUCAGAGUGGAAGGCAGAUUGUAUGAUGCCUGUGUGCAAACUAAGCUACACAGCAGUGAAACAUGGGCUGUGACAGCUGAGGACAUGCAUAGGCCUGAAAGAAAUGAAGUCAGUAUGCUUUGCUGGAUGUGCAAUGUCAGUGUGCAUGUUUGACAGAGUGUAAGCAUCUUGAGAGAAAAGUUGGGCAUAAGUGACAUCAGAUGUGUUGUACAAGAUAGACAACAGCAUUGUGUAAAAAAGUGCUGAUCUGUAACUGUCAUUGGAUCUUGUGAUUGCGGUAAACCCAGGAAGACAUGGGACAAGGUGGUGAAGCAUGAUCUUCAAACUUUGGCCCUCGCAGAGGCAAUGACUAGUGACCAAGACCUUUGACAAUAUGCUGUCCUUGGGAAGACCCAUCUCGCCAAGUGAACUAGUUGUGGCUUAUGCUGGUGUCAUGUAACCGGCACUCAUACUGGUGCCAUGUAAGAAGCACCUUUCAAGCAUUGGGCCUCACUGAGGCAACGUGGCUGAUGCCAGUGGCACAUGAAAAGCUCCUUUCGAGUCUUGGGCUUCAUGGUGGUAAUGACCCUGACCUUUGGCGUUGUCAGGCCUGAGACAAAGACCCAUCAAACUAAGUAAAACCACAGUCAUGGCAGAUACUGGUGUCACACAAAUGGCACCCAUGCCAGUAGCAUAUAAAAGCACACAUUACACUCAGUUGUUGGCUUUAGGGAGGGGAUCCAUUGGUAGAAACCAUGCCAAAUCAGACUGGAGUCUGGUGCAGCCUUCCAGCUUUCCAGCCUUGGUCAAACCAUUCAACACAUGCCAACAUGGACAAUGGAUGCUAAAAGUUUACUUGAUGUAUCCUUUAUCUUAUUUAAGACAAUGUGUUAUACAAGAGAAACUUAACUGUUAUUUCCACUCAGCAACAUUUUUCGAGAAGUGAGCUGCAUGAGACAUGGUUCAUUACUAGGCAGGCCACACUACUAAAAAAAAUUCAAGGUAAUUUUUCAUCAGGCAUACCAUUCAGAGCACCUAGCAAGUCACAAUUUGCCCAUAACAGUCAUAGAGGCUCAUUGGCUCUGUAAACCCAAGGUCUUGUGACUGUUUAAGAAAAUAAUACUUUGUAAAUACAAAAAAAAAAAAGUGAAAAGGCAAAAAAAACUGGUAAGGAAAGGUAAAACUAGAAUUCCAAAAUUUUGUUUACCAUUGACAUUCUGAACAAUGGUAUUACUUGAGCAUAAAAAGUUAGCAUGCAAACACAUACACACACAUUUUUGGUGCAGAAUGACUGAAUGGUUAAGACAUCUGCUUCACAACCAAGAGGGCCCAGAUUCAAUCCCAUUACAUGGCAAAUUGGACAAAGUCACUUUCUAUAACUUCAAGCUGCUCUAUACCAUGUAAGUGGAAUUGGGUAGACAAAAACUGCAUAGAGCCCUGUCAAGUAGACUGUACCUUUAAUUCAAAAGGUACAGCCUUAUCGCAAACAAUCUCAUGCUGGUUCUACUUAUGUAUUACAUUAUUGCAACUGUGUAAUACUGAUUCUACCCAUGUAUUACAUUAAGGGUAAACGUGUGUGUGUGUGCGCGCGCAGAAUGUUCUGUCACUUACAAGUUAAUAAUUAGGAGCAGGUAAUUCUAAUGAUUAAACUACUGAAUCUUCAUUGUCAACCAACAGAGAUCCACCACCAUAUAUUGUCAUUCAGUGCCCACUUUUUCAUGCAUGUGUGGGUCAAACAGAAUUUGCUCAGGCAAAUUCUCUAUAGCAGCUAGCCUUCCUGCCACCAGGCCUCACCUCUUUCCAAUAUUUUCUCUUAGCCAGACAUGUUUUAAAUGGAAGACUAGCUACAAACAACACUGCUUGUAUGAUGAUGAUGCUCAUUUACAAGGCAAUGAUACACACAUACACACGUGUGUGUAUGUGUGUAUGCAACAGGCUUCUUUGCUUUCAUCUACAAAAUCCACCCAGAAGGCUUUGGUAAGCCUGGGGCUCCUAUAGAAGACAUUUGCCCAAGGUGCUGCUCUGUGGGACUAAACUUGAGACCACAUAGUUUGGAGCCUAUCUUUGUAAUGUGUUUGUGUGUGUGUGUUUUAGGACACUGUAAGAUUCUUAUCAUUUCUGAUCUUAGUAACAUUGUAAGUUAUUCUGUUCUCUACUCUUUGGAAUUAAGCUAAUUUCUUCUGAAUUUUUGUAUUUACAGAAUAUUCAAGCAACUUUCUACACCAAAAAGAAAUGUUACUUUGUGGAAUGUAAGUCGCCUUGAUAAUCUUGAUUAUGUUACCAAAUACCCCUACUCUGUGCAGCAGUUGAGCCAUUUUUACUCACACUACAUGUUGAAACUGGUUUUAGCCACACAAACAGAGUUGUUUUAACAAAGCAAUGAAACUGAUUAAACUGAUGAUUUAUGACUAAAAUUCAUUAAUUUCCAACCAAAUACAAGUGGCCUUGCUUAUACACAUCAAGCAAAUCUAUUCCAUUAAUUAUGCCAGCUAAUUAAUUUAAAAAACUGUUUAUUUAUUUGAAUGUGUCUAAUGUUACCCUUUAUAGUUAUAAAGUUGUUUUUUCUCUCGGUAUUACUGUUUUUAUAAUUAUGAAUAUUUUUUUUGUGCAUGUCUGGGGUUAAUGAAAGAUCAAGAAUUCCAUGAAGGUCAAAAUGUCUGGGAAACCUUGACUUAGAGGGUCAGUUUUAUCAAGUUAAUUAAACAAACAAGAUAUUAUAGCCAAAGUUACAAUAUAUGUAAGGUUACGUUAUAAAGCUCAGACUGCAAUGUUAAAACUUCAAGCAUUGUGCCAGAUAUUUGUAGUCUUCCUUGGUAAGCUACAUUACUUUGUCUGCCUCAAAAUCAUAAAUGGCUGAUUAAUAAUUGGAAAUUUGUCCUCCUUCAAUAAUUCAUGAGUAUCUGUAAAAAAUUAAGUAUUUGAUAAAGUCAAAUGUGCUAUCCUUUAAGGGUUUAUGGGCAAACUGCAGCCAUAAGGCAUGCUUAACAAAAAAUUACCUUGAAUAUUUUUUACUUGUGCAGUCUGCUUCAUGAUAAGCCAUGUCUUGAAGAAGGUCGCUAUACCCAAGACAUGCCCAGGAGAGGUGGGGUCUAAGGGGUACAUGCACCCCCGCUCCUCAAGAAAAGAAAUGAGUCCUAAAUGGUAUUAUUGUGACCUUUUCUUUUGGAAUUGUAUUCCUUUCUGACCUUGUACCCUCCCUUAGGACCAUGCCUGCAUACCUGCUUUAAAGCAUGAGGUUACUGUAAAGGCAGGGUUAAUCUGUUGCCCAGUUUAGCACCAUUGUCUAUCCCACGUGAGCCAAUUAAGUCAAUUUUCUCCUUCUCAUAAAUUUCUGGCCCUCUGCUAAUAUGUGAGAAAUCAUUAUCUAAUGAAGCUGGAUAUUGUUUCAAGAUAGUGAGUGUGCAUGCAGCAUUUUCUUUUUUGUUCAGAUUUCUGAUUAUCUCACAGUUACAAAUAAGUCAAAUAUUUUACCUUUUUUUUUUUUUCAGGAAGAAAAAGAAUUUGAAAAGGAAGGCAAGAAGCUUGAAGAGUGAGUUAAUUGUUAUUGGUGUUGUUGUUUAGGAUUGGCCUUUGUCUUAUUUUCAAGUCUAUAGUGAAAAUCUCUGCUGUGUCAAUGAAAGGCUGAGCUUCCCAACUUGCAUUUUCUGUGUUAUACUGUCUUGUUAGAAAUGAUCGAAGCCAUUCACCUAAAUUUUUUGUUUCAGGUACAGUGAAUCUAGGGCUGCAUAAUCUUAAAGGAAAGCAUAUAUUGCAAUUCAAAAGAAGUUUGGCUAUUAUUUCUAGCUGGUCAAAUGACCAUGUAGAAGCUUUCUCAUAGGUUCAAGAGUGAGUUGAAUGUAUGUUUGCCAAUGAUUUAAAAAAAAAGAAAUGAAAGUUUUAAAUGAAACUUAAAUUAGUAGCAGCAUAGUUUGUUUAAAAUAUUGGUCAGUCACAGUCAGCUGUGUAAAUUGUAUGACAUCAACAGGUAUUUGAUAUAAUAAAUUGUUGAACUUUUAGAUAACCUUCAUCAGAUGUGAUUGGUUGACCCAUUCGAUGCUUGCCUAUUAUAAUUCAUCUCACAGAAUUGUUUCUCAAACGACAUGAGAAAAAGUUUGCUAUACAGCAAUUCUAUUUAGAGAAAGUGUGAUCCACAUACAUUUAUAGUAACCACUACCACCACCAGUUUCUUUUAAUUACCAUAUUUCCCAGUUUCUAAGAAGCUACAAUUGAUAAGACACACUUUAUAGUUAGGACAUUUAUGAUAAUUUAUAAAAAUAUCAGAGCUCUUUUGAAAAAUUAUCUAAUUCAGAACAAAGCAGUUGUGCAUUUACUAAAUCCAGUUCAGCAUAACCGGACAUACUUGCUAUCCAUAGGAUUUGUUUACAUUCCAUUUAACACCCCCACCCACUUCCCAACAGGCUUUUCAAAGUUGUUACCAAGUGCUGACUGUGAAAGUACAUGGCUGAAUGGUUAGAGUGUCAGGCUUACAAUCAUGAGGUAGUGCGUUUGAUUCCUGGACCGGGCUGUCUGCCCUGUUCUUGAGCAAGACACUUUAUUUCACAUUGCUCCAGUUCACUCAGCUAUAGAAUUGAGCUGUAAUGUCACUGGGGCCAAGCUCAAUUGGACUUUGCCUUUCCCUUGGAUAACAUUGGUGGUAUAGAGAGGGGCAGCUGGUAUUCAUGGGCAACUGCUGGUCUUCCAUAAAACAACCUUGCUCUGAUUUGUUCUUCGGAGGGGAACUUUCUUGAUGCAAUCUCAUGGUCAUUAAUGACCAAAGGGAAUCUUUACGCUCUACCUUUUACUAAGUGCUGACUACCUGUGCAUUCCUUAUUUCUUCUUGUCCUUCAUGGAAUUUAUGGUCAUCCUUGUGUCGAGCUACAGCAAUUUCAUUGAAUUUAUGAUCCUCAUAUUCACCUUCAUGUCCAUCCACUCCAGCUUUGUGCUUGUCUUCACUCCAGCUACACUAGCUUUGCAUUCAUCUUCAUGUCCAACUUUGAUACAAGAAGAUAAUGCUGCCUGAUUGACUCUCAGCACUACUGAAAAAACUGCAUUUCAACACUGGUAACAUCAAGGACAGGCUUCAAAAAAUUUGUUCUACCUCUGACAAAACUGCAGAAAAUUUCAUCACUGUUUAUAUACCCAUGCAGGACAUUUCCACUGAUGAAAGUCUGUGGAAAUUCAAGUGGCGGCUGAAAUUCAAGCAGUACAAUCCUAUCAAGUGUGCCUGUUUCAGGAUAAAAUUUCAUAAAGUGUGUCAGUCACCUGAUGCAGCCUGUGGCUAUACUUUGAUCCAUAAAAUAUACACUGGAGAAGAUAAAUUGGACAGUCCAGUAUCCACAAAUGUUGUCUUGUUGCUGAAUAACAAGUUGUUAGAUAAAGGAUUCAACAUUCAUAUGGACAACUAGUUUUCCAGUCCUGACUUCUUUCUUCGGCUGCAGGCAAGGAAAACAAAUGCCUGUGGGACUGUGUGCACCUUCAGGUAAAACAUGCCACCUGAACUUCACAAUGUGAAACUUUGCAAAGACAAAACUGUGUGCCACUUCACUGAUAAUAGCAUUGUUGCAUUGGUGUUGAGAGACAAUUAAAAUAUUUGUUUGCUGUCCAUGACACAUUCUACUGGCAUGUCCAACACUGGCAAACGAGACAGGGUUGGAAAUCCAGUAACGAAACCAACUGUUGUGUUGCUAUACAAUCACACAAUGGGUGGUGUCGAACAUUCUGAUCAACUGGCAUCAACACGGAAGUCAGUAUCCAAAUUUCUGAAAUAGUAUAUGUGGUGGAUAUAUAAAUUCGUUUUUGAUACAGCAAAUGCUUACAGUAUGGAAGAUGGACUAAAAUUCUGUAAGUUGCUUGUGAAACGAAUAAUAGAAGUUUCAGAUAUUCCACCAUAUUGAUCACAGGGGCAUCCACAGUCUGGCUCCUCCCCUUUGUUGGAUCAUCAAGAGACGUGGACAUUUCCCCACUUCAUUUCUGCCAAUAAAAAAAAAAGAAGUAUGUGCCAAAGUGAUGUGCUGUGUGUGUAGCGCACAGUAAUUACAAGACAAGAUAUAUAUGCAUAGACUGACUUCUUUUAUGUAUUACACCCUGUUUUCAAAUUUACCAUACCAAAGUUAGCUUUUGAUGCUUUCUUAAGCCAAUAUACCGUAAUUGUUUGACUUACACUUUUGGGUGAUCUUAUUCCUGUAGUAAUACUGUAGCAGCGUUCAGCACAGUAAUAAUAAUUUACAUACAUAAACAGUACUUACUUUAAAGUGGUUGACAUAAAUAUAUGCCAAACCGCUGUCACACACUGAGAGCUGAUCUCAGCCAAAAUGAUUACCACUAGUGCUGACUAAAGUCCUAAUAAACAACCUUUGCCAUGGGGUUCAACUAGCAGGCCAGUAGCAUACUUAACCAAUUGCUAAGCUGUAAUCUUUACAUAAGUGAGAUUUGUAACGGCUAAAAUUUAUUAGUAAACAUUAUGAUUUGUCUGAGUCAGCUGGUGUAACGAUAAAGUUUUGUUGUUAUUACGGCAAAUUGUAAGAUGUGAAAGAUGAACAAUGCAUGAAGUUUUAAGAAAGUAUUUAUUUACUGUUACAUUGAAAAACACCAUACUUCGACAGGCAGGUUGUGAUAAAUCCAAAAGCAUGCAAAGUAAAGUGUGUUUGUGUUUGUGUCCUCUUCAUUGUUUAGUAGUAGUAGUAGUAAUUACAGAGAGAGAUAGAAUGAUGUUGUAAGAGAACAGAAUUAGAGCUAGAGAGAAUUGUUGGGUGUUGUCUGACAACAAACUUCAUUUCUCCCUUUGACCAAAGUUCUAGCUGGUCUGCCAGACUUUGUCGUCACCGAAUUGACUGAACUUGUUGAGUCGUCACCGACUGUGACCAACUUGGUUGAGUCAUCACCAACUGGUGAUUAACUGAUUUUUGUUUGGGGUAUUCUUGCUUUUAUAACAAUCCAGAAUGAUAGACAUACCAUUGAAAACAAUAGAUUUAGUUGGUGGUCUUGUUAUCUCUAUUCUAGCUUUUGGUGAAAUAGAAGAGGUUAGAAAGGGUCAAGUGGUGAAGACAUUAUUUCGGCCUAGCUAAAGGCAUCUGGAAGAUGUAAAACUGCUGUCAGAAAAACCAUUGUUCCAUCAUGGGAAAAGUUCUGUUGCAGUGUUAAUUUAAAUUUGGGUAUGGUGAUGCAAGAUUCACUACAGAUUCUUAAGAUCUCUCGUGAAAAUUUUCAUCCUAUAACUUGUCCAUGACGUAAGAUUAAAAGAAAAAUUCAUGUCAUUGUUAACAUUUUUACAUUUUGUUCAGUUUUUUUAAUCACUCUCCUUAAACAUAAAAUAUCUCCUGUUUCUUUUAUAUUUCAGACUUGAGGAGACAUGUAGGAAACUUUACAAGGAUUCUAAAAAGUGCUCAGAGACAGCUUCAAGUGAGUAUUUAUAAUAUUUUACAUUUAUGCCUUGCAUCCAAUAUUAGGAAUAGUUAAAUUGAUGAAUUUUUCUAUUACUCAUGCUAGCAUGGAAAACGGAUGUUAAACGAUGAUGAUGAUGUGUUUAUAGUUUGUUAGGCAGGUAGGGGAACAAUGUCUAUUAUCAUCAGCAUUAUGGCAGUGAAUUGGCUGAAUGAACAUAAUCAUCAUCAUUUAAUGUCCAUGUUACAUGCUGGCAUAGGCUGGACAGUUUGACAGGAUCUGAUUGUUCCAAGGACUGCUCUGAGCUCUACUGUCUGAUCUGGUGUGGUUUCUAUGGCUGGAUGCCCUUCUUAAUACCAACCACUUGACAGUUUGUAUUGAGAUCUUUUCUCAUGCUACCAGCACUAGUGAGGUCACCAUGUAGCAUGCAAGACUAUGAACCCCAAAUGGUAGGGUUCAACUUUAUGCUAAGGGUUGAAGGAUGAAAGUAUGAAAGUAUGAGAGGAGGAGGUGGUGAACAGAGCAGUUCCUUGUUGUGGAGUAGCUACAUGGCUACUCAUAUUUAGAAGAGAGGGUGAGAAUGAUCAGUAAGCAUUCUGAAAAGAGAUAAAUAGUGGUGAUGAGGUAUCCAUGAAGAACAUGAGGGUAUGAAAUAAGUUAAAGUGAGUGAGGGCAGAUGAACUAGGAGUGUGAGUGUGAAUUUGCCAGAGUGCAUGACAGAUCAAGGGCUGGAGGAAUGGGAGAGGAGGGGAGAUGGACAACAACUGUAAAGAUUGUAUAUAGUUGAAGGAUAGAUGUAGGGCAUUAUAGACAAGUGGUGGUGCAUGACAAAUGAUGCAUGAGUUGGGGAAGAUAGAGGAAUGCAGAAGAGACUGGAGGGUGGGGAAAGAAUUGCCAAGCAGUAAUGAUGAUACAGUUGACAGGGAGAGAAGAAGAGGCAGGAAUAGUGAAUGAGGAGAGAUAAUUGGGUCCAGUGGCGAUGGGGAUGAAUCAGUGUAAUGUGUGAAUAGAGAGAAUAUUAAUGGAUGAAGAAUGGCUAACAGGUGAAAUGGUUCGGCUGGCAAACACGAUUGUUUACAGUAUGGAGUUACUGUUCUUUACGUUCUAAAUUCAAAUGCUACAAGGGUCAACUUUGCGUUUUCUCCUUCCUGAAUAAGUACUAAUCAAAUAUCUGGGUCAGUAUCCUUGUUAUAUAUCCUGCUCUGUAAUUUGAGACCAGAGAAAUCAUUAUCACUAUUAUCAAGAAUAAUGUAGCUUCUUUUCCAUGCAACUUUCUUAUUAAACUAGUUUUUUUUUAGUUUUUUUAAGCCUUACAAUAUGUUUCUGUUUCACAGGUCUGAGUAAAUGUGAACGGAGAAUCACACAAGAUUUAAUGGCCAGUACAUUAUGUAAAUCAGAAUCAAAAUUAAUGCAUCACUGUGAAGAGUGGGAUAAUUCAAUUGUUAAGUUGAACCUUCAUAUGCAAGAAAUGGUAAGUAAUUAAUUAACAUUUGAAUUAUUAUGAUCUAAAGAACAUGAGAUUAAAGAACAUGACAAAACGAUUUUAACUAGAACAAUUAACGCAAACCUUCCCUGUUUGGGUAUCAGUGAGGAUGAUACUUUUUUUAGCAUAUUACGGUUGUUGAGAAUUUACUCAAACAGACUCCUGUAUUUAGAUGUACGUAUUUGAUAUGUCAAGGAAAUGAAGCCAUUAAGCGGAGUCCCUCAUCAAUGACCAAUUCAAAUUAUUAUUCAUCUCUAUAGACAAUGCCCCAUUCUUCUAAACUACAUCCAAGAUUAGAUUUUUCCUUCAGCAUUAAAAAUUACUUCAACCUUGAACAACUUUUCAAAUCGUAAAUAUCUUUUACUCUAGAUGACAUUAAAAAAUAUCUAAGAUUCUUCAGUCACAAAAACUAAAACCAUUGUCUUUAUUUACAUUUGCUUUAGGGUUGAUGAAAUAAGUAUCCGUAGAACACUGGGGUCAAGGUAAUCAACAAACCCCUUCCCUAAAAAAAGUUCAGGCCUUGUACUUUUAGUAAAAAAAAUUAUUUCUACUUUUACUGGCAGUCAUCUCACUUCCUAAAUUUGGGUGUACCAAAGCUGACUAUAAGAAAUGUCACUCCUGUUUAACUUAACAAAUAACUCCUUGAAGAAAACAUAAAAAUAAGUCACGCUUCAUGAUUGUAUGGUUGACAUUCAAAAUAGAUAUAUCCAGAUAUAAAAUGAUUAACCUUAGUAUUUCAUAAAAUAUGUGUAUUUUCAAAACCUUGUUACUCAUACAGCCACAGGAAAUGUAAUUCAGAACUGUAAAGUCCUAAAAACAAUUGUUUUUAUGAUCUCUGUAAAGAAAUUGUUGGGAUUUUUUACGUUUCUUUUCUAAUCAUAAGUUUAGUAUUACUUAGUACAAUUUAAAGUGUUGUUAAGAGUUUUACAUGGGAAUAGUUUGUCUGACUUAUUUCUAUGGUUGACAGCUAUGCACAGCACAGUUACACAAUACUCUCUGUACUCCUGUUACUUAUAGUGGUAAACUGUAACUCUAUUGUGACCUUAGAUGAGGAUGUGAAUCAGUUGUUAAUAGUGCUUUGUUUAGUGAUACAGCACAGUAUCUGUAAUAUGAGAAAUUGUUGCCUAACACAUGCCAGUAUGGAAAACAGAUGUUAAAUGAUGAUGAUGCCAGCCUUUCAGAUAGUAAAACAGUAGAAUUUAAGCAAGCCUAUGAAUAUGUAUCGGUAAAUAGUAGAUAUCAGUAUUCCAUAAAGUGAAACUAGUUGAAAGCCAGAAAAGGGUGUUGUGAUGAGAGUUACAAUGCCCACCUUGAGCAUAAUCCUAUGAACCCCGAAAAAAUUAAAACAGAGGGUUACCUACUUGCAAACAAAUGUGGUAACAUGUAACAUUAUUGACUGAGGUUACCGUGGUCUUUUCCGUAGGCUUUUCUUCCCACGGAUAAACCUUAUCUGCUUCCCCCUUUACACUUUACAUCAUUACACUGUGAUACACGAUCCCUAUUGAUCGUUUUUUUUUCUUUUCCCUUUUACGAUCCCUUUUGGUCGAAAACCUAUCCCACCUUUUUUUUUUCUCUCCCCAAAAAAAGAAAAGCUCUACUUUGUAAUCUGUCUCAUCUGUGUGCAGCCCUGUGUGGCUAAUAAAGAAACACAUUUGUCUAUGUAUCUAUCUAUCUGUCUAUGUAUGUAUCUAUCUAUCUAUCUACCUAUCUAUCUACUUCUUUUAGUCAUUGAACUGCAGACCUGCUGGGUCAUGUUGAACUCCUUGAAGGAUUUAGUUGAACAAAUUGACCCCAGUACUUAUUUUUAAGCCUGGUACUUAUUCUAGAAGUCUCUUUGGCUGGAUCACUAAACAACAGGGGAUGUAAACAAACCAACACUGGGCGUCAAGCAGUGAUAAGGGACAAACACAUAGAUAUGCAUACAUAUAUGUAUGUGUGUAUGUAUAUAUUCUUAUAUCUGGGGAUGGUCAUCAUUUGCCAGUUAAACACACACACUUUUUAUUUGAUCUUCACUUUAGCCUUAUUAUUAUUAGUAGUAGUUUAUUUGUUGGAGUUCUUUCAUCGUGCAUUCUGUGACCACUUCAGUGACUUUCUUUUCCUCAUGUCAUCUCUUGUCCUGUCUAUUCCACGUGUGCGCGUGUGUGUGUGUGUGUGUGGCAAGCUCCUUUCAGUUCCUGUCUAAUAGAUCCACUCACAAAUCUUUGGUGACCCAUGGCUGUUGAAGACACUUACCUAAUUAGGAAGCAACUUCUUACCACACAGCCAUGCUGCAAUAGGCUCUGCACAAUUUCAGUGAAGAAAUUCCACUCACAAAUUAUUGGUUAACCUAAGACUAUGGAUUAAUCCAUAACCUUAGGUUGACCAGUAAUUUGCUAUACAACAUGAUCAAACUCAGAACCAUGUAGUUGCAAAUUGUUCUUAACCACAUAUGCUUGCUUGUGGUCAGUAGUUAGUUUACUGUCAAGAAGAAGUGAAGUUGGCACUUUGGGACAGAACCCUUCAUUAGAGAGUGAAACAUUAUUAGUAAAUUACAUAUAUGACAGAAAGAGCAAAAGAGAAAAAGCAUUGAUUGCUUCUGUUCAGAGAGUGAAUUUAUAUCUCUAUGCAACCACAUUUGUUAAAUCAUGCCAUUCAAUAAAUAAAUGAUGCAUUUGAAAAAAUAUGGACUUCAAUAUUUCAAAAUUUUUUCUUUUGUAAAAUUCUUUAAUUUCUUUUUUUUUACAUUGAUAGAAUUCCAACAUCCAAAAGACACUGGUGGAACCCGUCAAAAAGUAAAUAUAUUUUCUUCAACUUGUCUAUUAUUGUAAAUCUGAUGUUUCUGGUAUUUGUUAAUGUUGAAUUUUAAUAUUGGCACAAGGCCACAUACAAAAACAGGUGUGUGUGUGUGUGUGUGUGUGUUAAUGUGUACUGUGCAUUUCAGUCUCAAGGCUAGCUUUGCUAUUUGAGUACAGUCUUUGAUGCUGGUUUUUUUAGUGGAAAAAAAAAAGUGGCUUCUCUGCAAGUAUAUACAGUAGUUUUGUCUAUCACUAGCUUAUUAAUAUCUUGUUAAGUUGAUGUAUUUUGGGGAUACUUUUCGUGCUAUCUUUUGCCUAGAUAGAGCAUUUUGUAGUUGAGAGUAUCAACUAUAAUAUUGGGUUGUCCAGAAAGUUCAUGUCGAUUUUUAAAGGAAAGAAAAAGGUCAAUAAUAACUUGCCAUUACAUUUUUUAAUCAACCAAAUAUGAACCGUUUUGUUGCACAAUGCAUCUCCAUCUUUCCUUUAACUUCAAAAUACCCUCUUCCCAGAAUUGAGGUGGUUUCAUGACAAAGAAUUCAUCAAGGUAUCUUUUUACAUCAUCCAAGGAAUUGAAAUUUUUACCAUUAAGACUAUUCUGCAGAGACCUGAAUAAGUGGAAAUCCGAAGGAGCAAUAUCUGGUGAAUAUGGAUGGUGGGGUAGCACAUCCCAGCCGAGCUGCAGCAAUUUUUGUCUGGUUCCCGAAGCAUCAAGUGCCAAAAAUGAACUUUCUUAUCUUCCAUUUUAAAGGAUUUCAGAACUAACACAGGUUAUAGGAACAUAAACCUUUUUCCACGAAAAGAUAGCUUAAACUGUGCUCUAAAUGGUGUAGUCAAAUCCUAUUUUAUGGACUCAACCAUGUUAUAAAAUAAGUCAAAAGGUAAGCUAAUAUAAAUCAGCACGAACUUUCCGGACAACUCAAUAAAAUCUUAGUGGUAUUUGUGUUAACUCUGGAGAUAUCAAACUUAAUACAUGUUAGUAAUGCCAAAUUCACCUGAUUUUACUGAAGGUGGUUGAAUGAAAACUAUUUCCUCUUGUAAGAUGCAUUGCUGUUUCUUAUACAGUAAUAAGUCUCAACUUGUGGGUUACAAUAUAACCCGGAAUAUGUUGCAAAGUUUUUUUGAAAUAUUUUAUAAAACAUUAAAUGUUUAGGAGUGGCUGUGUGGUAAGUAGCUUGCUAACCAACCACAUGGUUCCGGAUUCAGUCCCACUGCGUGGCAUCUUGGGCAAGUGUCUUCUGCUAUAGUCCCAGGCCGACCAAUGCCUUGUGAGUGGAUUUGGUAGACGGAAACUGAAAGAAGCCUGUCGUAUAUAUGUAUAUAUAUAUGUAUGUGUUUGUGUGUCUGUGUUUGUCCCCUUAGCAUUGCUUGACAACCGAUGCUGGUGUGUUUACAUCCCCGUCACUUAGCGGUUCGGCAAAAGAGACCAAUAAAAUAAGUACUGGGCUUACAAAGAAUAAGUCCCGGGGUCGAUUUGCUCAACUAAAGGCGGUGCUCCAGCAUGGCCACAGUCAAAUGACUGAAACAAGUAAAAGAGUAAUACUAUUGAUAAAUGAUAGGCAUAAGAGCUACAGUACAACAUUCACUGCAAAUGAAAACAAGAAUAUUUCCUCUGCAAAAAUAUUAAAUGUUAAUUUUAUUUGAUUCUUGGAAAAUUAUAUUUUUUUUAUUUGAAUAUUUAAAAACAACCAUACAGAAUUGGGUCACGAUGAUGAAAGAUUGACAACACCUGUUGUAUACUACAUAGAUCACUACUUAAAAGUUAAGAUUCUGGACGACAUAAGUUCAACCACUGAGCUUGUUGCACUUUUCCAACUAAGCAAAAACAAAUUCCACAUGGACUAAAUGCACAGUGGUUAAAUGAUAGAAAAUCAUCUGAUUUGUGGAUUUGGUAGACGGAAACUGAAAGAAGCCCGUCGUGUAUAUAUAUAUAUAUAUAUAUAUAUAUGCGUGUGUGUGUUUGUGUGUCUGUGUUUAUCUCCUAGCAUUGCUUGACAACCGAUGCUGGUGUGUUUAUGUCCCCGUUACUUAGCGGUUCGGCAAAAUAGACCGAUAGAAUAAGUACUGGACUUACAAAAGAAUAAGUCCCGGGGUCGAGUUGCUCGAUUAAAGGCGGUGCUCCAGCAUGGCCGCAGUCAAAUGACUAAAACAAGUAAAAGAGAUUUAAACAGUGUGCUUUAUUUUGUUUUUGUUUUUCUUGAACAUUUUUUACAUAUAUUUUCUCAAUAAAAUUUCAGAAGCGAGACGUCGGGUUUUUAGUUAUAUUCAACAUUAAAAUCAGGCAUGUGCCAUCAGUAAUUACUCGAGUAUGCAGUUGGUGACCUUUAUGUAGCUAAACGCACAAAGAAUAAGCAAAACACAUAUGCACACCUGAGUUGAAGGCAGAUUUACUUUUACUUUUGUAGCAUAUAAAGAAAACAGUGUUGUAGGAGUGUACGCAGCAUGUAUACUACAGCAGUACUAUGUGUAGCUUAAAUACUGAGAUUGAAAAGCAGGGGCAAAUUAUCUACAAGAAAAUAAAAUAUUUUGCAUUUUAUGUAUAGUGAUGUAUAGUAAUUUUCAUAAUUGCCUACCUAGGUAGCUCAUCCCUGGUUAAAAUGAAUUUAUUUUAUUGAAAAAUAUUACAUUAAAAUUUUGUUGCAUCAGUAAUAUCAAUACAACUGCUUGUUGUCAUUACAGGUUUAGUAGUAUAUUCCCCAGUCUUCAUGCAGCUGAAAAAAAGCGGGAACAAGCUUUGGAGGUUUGUACUGUACUGUUAUUUAUUUUUAUAUGCUUUAUUCUGUUUAGAAUCUCUUUGAAUCUAAAUACUUACCUGGAGAAGGAGAUGUAUCAUAAAGUAACUGAUAGCAUAUUUUUGAAACACUAAAAUUUCUUACAUUCAGAAGCCUAAAACUCAGUUGGUUAUGUCGUAUCAAUGUCUUACUGAUUAAAACAUCAAUAGCUUCUGGAAUUUGGUUAAAUUAGGAAGAAGAGGAAUCUGAUGUUUCAACACUAUCUCAUUGUCUGCGAAAGAAAAUGAUAGUUUCUAGACUUCAAAUUCUUCUUUACCCCACCCUUCCUUAUAAACUUAGCAAAACUUAUAAAUUUCACUGUAUAUUUUUUACCAACUUAUAGAUGUGGAUGUGGGAAAAUUUUUGCUUCCCAACCACAUGGGUUCAGGUUCAAUCCCUUUGCAUGACACCUUGGGCAAAUGUGAAUAGAUUUGGUAGAAAGAAACUGAAAGAAGUUUUUCAUAUAUAUAUAUAUAUAUAUAUAUAUAUAUAUAUAUAUAUAUAUAUAUAUAUAUAUAUGCAUGUGUAUGUGUUACUGUCUCCUUGCUUUGACUUCAUAUGAUUGUUAGGAUUCUUUCAGAUUCCAUCAACCAAAUUCACUUGCAAGACUUUGGUCAGCCCAGCUGACCAAUGGUGUCACACAGUUGGACUGAACCCAAAACCAUGUGAUUGGGAAGCAAACUUCUCAACCACAACCAUACUUGUGCCUAUUCAAGAUUAGAAUUAUAUUUUCACUAAUUUUGUCCAGAGGGCUGUGGCUACACUAGGCCAUUGGUUGAAGUAAUCUCUUAUCAUCUGUGAACUUUGUUCUUUAUAUCUAAAUCCCAUUAUCAAUGAUUUCACUGAUUAAUGAUUCUGUUUGCUUCAGGAAUACAAAAGGUGUGAAGCUAAGGUCAAAAAGUACCAAGAACGUGAACGUACUGGAAACAAUAUUGUUAAGCUAAAUCAGGUAUUGUUCACUUGUUAUCUUUGCAAUGUUUUUAUUAUAAUUACCACCAUAUCUUUACGUAAUUGACAAAAAUGACAAAAUUGUUAAUCUUGAAGAAAAUACUUUGCAGCUUGUUUCAAUGCUUUAUGUUGUGAGUUCAUGUCACACCAAUGUUAAUUUUGCUUUCCAUCUUUCCAGAGUUGAUAAAAUAAAGUACUUGUCUUGAGUGGUAGGUUAACUGAAUUGUUAGUGUUGAGCAAAAUACCUUGUGGUAUUUGUUCUGGAUCAUUAUGUUCCAAGUGCUCAGGCAGGUGUGAUCAACUUGUUUGUAGCUUGCAUUUUAUAAAAAAAUAUCUGAAGAAAGGUAACAGCAAACAGUCUUCCUAUUCUCUCAUGAUAAUUCCAUGAAUGAUACAUGGUGUUUUAUCAAGGAAAACACCAUGUGUCAUUCUGCUAAAGGCACCUACCUCUAACCCAGGGACUGAGGGUAAGACCAUCUGGUUUCUUUCGAUCACUUCUGGGUAAUCCCGCUGGCUCCAGAACUGAGGGAAUAUUAAUCCAAGCCAAGGCCCGCUUAACGAUUAGGCUUAGCUUGGUGUGACCUUCUAGUAGAAGGAAGGAUCUAGUUAAUAUAUCUGAAAUACAGCAAGUAUCUCGACUCAGCAGUGGUUUCAAAUAUUCACAGCCCUAACCUCAUUUUCUCCUAUAUGUUCAAUACUGUUAAAAACAUACGAACAAAUGGUAUAAACUUGUGUUUAUCACAGUUUAUCCUACAUAUACUCCCUGUAUAUCAUAAGUAGUAAUACUAUUAAAUAUAGUAGCAACUAAACCACUAUACUGGAAGAAGACUGGAUGAUGAUAAUCUACAUGGAGCUCUAAACUCAACAGUAGGAAUUAUACAUCCAUUUGCACACACACUGGGCAUCUUUCAGUUUCUGUCAACUAAAUUCACUCACAAGGUUCUGGUUGGCCUGAGGGUAUAGCAGAAGACUCUUGUUCCACACAAUGGUACUGAAUCAGGGACCACACAUUUAAGGAGCAAGCUUCUUAAUCACACUGUCAUACCUGCAAAAAAUAACACUUUCGGUUGAAGAGUCCAUUUGUCAUAGAGUUAAUAAACUGCAUAUGAAUCUUACAUAGCUUCCUUCUGUUUCUGUUAAAUAUUUCUCUCUCACUGUUACCUUUGUUUCUCUGUUGAACUAACAGAUUCCACUCUGAUCUAUGGUUGAAAGAAUAUCUGUUUACUUUAGUCUCCCUAUUGAACUAACAGAUUCCAUUCUACUUCAUUGGUGGGAGAAUAGCUGUAAGAAUUUAUCUAUAUAAACAAUAGUGUACAAAGUCUACACUUUCAAAACUAUUCCUUUUAUGUCAGCAUAAGAAAAUGGAUAAAAGAUAGAAAAAAAAUAUUGUUUAGAAAGCUAUUGGACUCUGAACCUCAGGAGAGGUAAAAGAUUUCAAAUCUACAUUUGGGUUGUUUGUUUAGUCCCUGACAGCUGUGAUCAAGCAAACAUAUGAUUCAAAGGCUUUCUGUCUUAUUUUCAUGUAUGGUUUAUCCACCACUACAUUAUCCAGCGUGUCUUUUCUUCUUGCAAGACAGAAGCUGAUUUCAAGGACCUUUUAAGUGCUAUAUCUAGCCAGAUUACCUAGCAACUAGUCUUAAGCUAGUGUUCAUCAAUUAUGUUAACAAACAUCAAUUGUACCUUAAUCAAAGAUGCCAAUUUCUUUUUAUCUUUAUACACUCUGUAUGUACUUUGUCUUUUAAAUGAGUGAUUAUUUUGUGUUCUUUUGUUUGUUUGUUUUUUUGUAAAAUUCUAUCAGAGCCAGAAAUCCUUGACGCCAGCCAAAGAAGAGUUCUAUGAACUACACACAAUCUUAAUGGAAGAUAUGCCUAAACUAUAUGAUCUCCGAAUUAGUUACUAUCAACCAUGUAUUGAAGCAUUAAUCAAAUCUCAGGUUGGUUUCAUACUUUAUAAGAUUUUACACACAUGCAUACGCACGCACGCGCGUACACACACACACACACUAUUGUAUCCUAGCAACCAAGAUUUUUUUCUUAUUUGGUGAGGCUGGAGUCAAGUAAUGCAAUUCGAAGUCAAGUUAUUUGUACCUCAUUGUUGUCAUUAUAACAUUGAAUUUUCUGUACUUGCAUCAGUCAGAUGAGAGAUUUUGGGGCAGUUUUUUAGAGCUACAUGACCUUCCUCUCAACAAUCCCCACAUGUUUCCAAGCAAGGUAAUAUUUCUCCAUGUUCAGACAUGUUUUCACGGUAAAGUAAUUGAAUAGCAUUGCUUGUGUGACAGUGAUAAUUCUUUACAGCUAUCAUCUAAUCCCAAGACUAGGAGAAGCAAACAUACACACACACACACACACACACACACACACACACACACAAGUGUAUAUACACAAUGGUCUUCUUUCAGCUCCCUCAUAUUACAACCUCUCACAAAACUUUAAUCAUCCAAGGUUAUUGCAUGAAUCACUUGCCUGUAGUGCCAUGCAGUGGGACUGAACCCAGAACCAUAUGAUUGGAAAGCAAACGUUUUAACCACACUGCCAUCAUCAUCAUUUAAUGUCCAUUUUCUAUGCUGGCAUGGGUUGAAUGGUUUGACUGAAAUUGGUAAGCUCUAGGGCUAUACCAGGUUCCAGUCUGAUCUACAGCUGGAUGUCCUUCCUAAUGCCAACCAUUCCAACAGUGUAGUGGGUGCUUUUUAUGUGCCAAUGGCUUGGGUACUAGUCUCCUUAGUCGUGAUUGGGUAAAGAAGUGAGUACUGAUGUUAUAAGAAGUGGAGGAUAUUUAAUUAGGAUAAAUCUGUCAUUGCUUAAAGAAAUCAAUAAUGAAGGUUUUAAUCAUUGACUUUUUUUUUCUUUUUUCUUUACAGGUUGCCUACAACUCUGAAUGUUACAAAAUCUAUAGUGAGUUAGCUGGUCAUCUUGCUCCAGAGACAUACACUAGUGAAGAAUAUGGCAACAGAAUACAACAGAAACUUUCAGAUAUAAAGACAUUGUCCAUAGUUGACUGAUUAAUUACUUCAUAUUAAUUAAUAUUAAAUCAAAAAGAGAUUUUAUAUGAGGGAAAAAAAUCAAAUACCUUUUUAUAUAAUGAAUGAAGUUUAUUCAUAUGAAAUCCACUGAAGAAAUCCAUUUUAAACAUUGGACUACUUUAAAUUUGGCAAACUACUAACUAUUGGAGUGACUCUAUAACAAAGAUUGUUGUACACAGUCAUUGGAAUAUUUUGUUGUUUCAUAAAUGUCAUCACAUUACUUUUAUCAUGAAAUUUCAUCCUGUGAAAUAUGAUACUGUAUUGUAGCGUAUGACUAAUUUAUGUGAAAUAUAUACCUCCGAUUGUGCCCCACAUGUGCCAGAUUGUGUAAUGCAUGCCCUAGAUUGUGAGAUGCAUGUCUCAGAUUGUUACUCAUGUGCUAAAUUGUGUAAUGCAUGUCCCAGAUUGUUACAUAUAUGCCAGAUUGCAAUUCAUGCUCCUUAUUGUGUGAUGCAUGCCCUUGAUUGUAAGAUGCAUAUCCUAGGUUGUAAAUGAAUGCCCUAGAGUGUGUGAUGAGAGUCCCAGAUUGUGGAGCACAUACCCCAGAUGCUGAAAUAUGUAUCCCAGAUUAUGAGAUGCAUGUCCCAGAUUGCGAAAUGCAGGUUCCAAGAUUGUAAAAUAUGUAUUCAUUGAUGAGAAAAAUAAAAUACUGACAUGUUAUCAGUGAUGGAUUUAUCUUGUAGUAAUUGCAGCACAUGUUGCAGGUCCUACUUUUUUAAGGAUUCAGAACUAAAUCUUUUAUUACUAUAGUACUAUACUGCCUUCAGCCUUUAUUAACCACUGGGUGUUUUAGGUUGAUCCAAUACUCACAAUACUUCCAAGAUCCCAAACAACUUUAAAUUAAACACAUUACAGAAGUCAAAUUAAAAGGCAAUUGU